rnacentral:piRNA from 1 species
UUACUGAAGUAGGUGAAGACUGUGUGGU